rnacentral:misc_RNA from 1 species
UCCGGUUUGUCACCGGCAGUCUCGCAUGAGUCCCCAACUAAAUGCUGGCAACAUACGACGGGGGUUGCGCUCGUUGCGGGACUUAACCCAACACCUCACGGCACGAGCUGACGACAGCCGUGCAGCACCUGUGCAGGCUCCCUUGCGGGUCCCUUCCGUUUCCGGUCGGUACCACCUGCAUGUCAAGCCCGGGUAAGGUUCUUCGCGUUGCAUCGAAUUAGACCACACGCUCCGCUGCUUGUGCGGGCCCCCGUCAAUUCCUUUGAGUUUUAGCCUUGCGGCCGUACUCCCCAGGCGGAACACUUAUCGCGUUGGCUUCGGCACAGACAGAUUCGACUCCGCCCACACCUAGUGUUCAUCGUUUACGGCGUGGACUAC